CACGUAGGGCGCAAGCGUUGUCCGGAAUUAUUGGGCGUAAAGAGCUCGUAGGCGGUGUGUCGCGUCGGCCGUGAAAACCUGCAGCUUAACUGUGGGCUUGCGGUCGAUACGGGCAUCACUGGAGUUCGGCAGGGGAGACUGGAAUUCCCAGUGUAGAGGUGAAAUUCGUAGAUAUUGGGAAGAACACCGGUGGCGAAGGCGGCUCUCUGGACCGAGACUGACGCUGAGGCGCGAAAGCGUGGGGAGCAAACAGG
rnacentral:rRNA from 1 species